UGAGGAAUAUUGGUCAAUGGACGCAAGUCUGAACCAGCCAAGUAGCGCGCAGGAUGACGGCCCUCCGGGUUGUAAACUGCUUUUAGUUGGGAAUAAACGGCGGGACGUGUCCCGCUUUGCAUGUACCAUCAGAAAAAGGACCGGCUAAUUCCGUGCCAGCAGCCGCGGUAAUACGGAAGGUCCGGGCGUUAUCCGGAUUUAUUGGGUUUAAAGGGAGCGCAGGCGGGCUUUUAAGUCAGUUGUGAAAUACGGCGGCUCAACCGUCGGACUGCAGUUGAUACUGGAAGCCUUGAGUUCACACAGGGAUGCCGGAAUUCAUGGUGUAGCGGUGAAAUGCUCAGAUAUCA
rnacentral:rRNA from 1 species